AAUAGGGAGGAAAAAAAAAAACAAAUUAUCAUCUCAAUUAAAACAUAUAUAUAUGUAUUUCUAUCAAAUGCUUCCACAUUCAUAUAAGGUAAACUUGCCUCUUUGACGACUAAAAUAUUUUAGGAAGAAAAUACGUUGUGAUUGUCAUCUUCAGGGCAUUUUCAGUGACGAUUUAUGGCAGUAGUUUAAAAUAAAAUUCUUAGUCAUUCAGCAUUUUAACUGAAAGCUACAUGUUAUGCAAGCAGUUUAUCAAACCCAUUGAGCUACCUGCCUAGUAGUAACGCAGCAAUAAAUAGUGAUAGCAUUUAAGACCAUUUUCAUCAUUAGUACUGUCAGAUCUGAUUGAAAUAUUAUGAAUGUUAAGGUUAAAUAUAUGAAGGCAAUAAAUAUUGAUAUGAAGGAUGCUCAAGAGAGUUGUGUUUCCCAAGUGGGUCUGGGGGCAGACUUGUUAUGAUGAUGGCUACUGCCAGCUCAUUGCAUGGCAACAGUUUGAGGGUGGUGUUUGCAAAGCUGGGAGCCAGACAGGAGAUUCUGUGCUGCGGUGGAGUUGAACACAUGCAAUAGAAGGGACACCCUCUGUGCCAGGACCUCCCUCAGCACCCACCAGCUGAAGAUAAUUGGGGGAGAGUGAAAGCUAUAUUGUGCUUUGCUAUCUCCGUGUUCGCAUGCAUGCAUGCCCUCGCUUUUUCUGUCUGAACCACUUUAUCCUGUCAGUCGCUGAGGAUGUGCAGGAGUGGACCAUGCCACCAUGUGGUGCUUUAUCAAGGACCAGAUCUAUGGCCCAAGCAUCACCAGGUCACUUAUCUUUCAGCUUCCAGAAGGUUUUAUAGCGUACCUCAGCAGUAAGAAGAGCUUGUUCCUGUUCACCAUCAUUAUUCCAGUCAAGGCAGAGGCAGCUUUUGAACCCUGCGAUGUUCAUCUCUGGCUAGUUCAGGGCUUGGAAUCGAUCAGGGGCGAUGAUAAUCCAUUAAGCUGCAUUCAGCACAUCUCUUUUAGAAAGAUGGAGAAAAUGAACCUCUGACCACAGAGAACAGAGCUGAGAUGGGGAAGACAUGCUGGGAGGAUCAGGUCCAGCUCUGGCACAGUGAGGCCGAAGCAGGGGUUACAAGGUGACGCCAACGCUUUCCCUACAUCAGCCUCUGUCCUGUAGGUCUGUGCAGCUCCAGCCCCGUGCCUCUUAUCUGACUCCUUCAGAGAUUUUCUCCAACGGUUUCUUAGCAUCACAUCCAUGUUCUUCUGAAAUUUCUCAUGUUUUCAGGGUUUUCAUAAGAACACGUGGCCAGUAUUUACUAUGGAGUGGCGCUUGGGCCAGGGUGAAUUUUACCUUCCAAGAAUUGGGGAUUUUAACUGACACAAUCCAAAGAUCAUGUCAAAGAAUUUUUUUUUGCCCUGCUGUCAGUGACAUUUGCAAGUGAUGGAAAACUAUCCAUAUGGCUAAACAGACUAUCUCCACUCCCCCACAAGUAGUGACUUAGAGGAAGAAAGAAAUAUGCAUCCUGAUCAUCUGUUUUGUAACAGGAUAUUUAUCUCAAGCUUUCAAGAAUUUCAUUAUUCUUCAUGGGGAGGAGGGGAACGGGCACUAAGGCAGAAUCUGUAAUAGAUUAUUGAUGCUGGGAUGUGAGUAAGCUGGGGCAGGAAACCUGCCUGAGCCCUGCUAUUACCCACGGAGAGGGGUUGUGGGCCUGUGAUAACACCGGGUGGAGAAAGAAGAAGAGGCAUUUUUACCAUAGUCAGUUUGGAGUCCAAGAAGAAUAAAUGAGUUUUGAAAAAAUCUGAGGGUCCUGAGAAAAGAAGGGAGGGGGACAUCUUUAAUGCAUAGGAAGAGAGGACUGUUUAGAAUGGAGACCAGGGACAAGGCUGUAAAUCCAUUUCUGCAGACAUAUCUGGGAGAGUUCACCCUGUUGAGCUGCACGGAGAUUGAAUCUCAGCUCUGUGCCUCUAGUCCAGUUAAAGCAAAUGGCUUAACUGACCUGCACCAUCCCAGUGUCUGUGGCCAUCUGAAAAUGACCUCAUUUGAACUUCGGUUCUGAACUAAGGUACAUUAAAAUUACAAAGCUCUUUGCUUCCAGUCAGGACUUCCAGGGUUGGUAUUAAUAGCUUUGGUGAGCUGUAGUCCAUUGAUUUAAAGCACCUGUGCUUCUGCAAGUCAGGACUUCAUCAAUUUUUUUAUCACUUACACAGGAAGAGUGCUGGGCUUAAUGCUAUUUAUCCAGCUGGACAUAUUGACUUUGACUUAGGAGAUCAAAGCAUUUGGGUUAGGGAUUGUGUAACAUCUUCGUAUAAGAACUGUCAGGGGUAAAUUUACCAAAGGCUGAAGCUUUGAUUGAUGAUCAUUUUGCAGGAAUGUUCAGCAUAAGGAAGUACAUAAUAGACCGUUUCUCUUGAUGGACCUGCAAGCCACACCACCUUUAAAUAUACAUAUUUUGAAACACAUUUCAUCACCUUCUGGAACAUAACAGUACACAAAAAAACUCUGGAAGGCACCUUCGAAAGCGAGUUUUCCCUAUGUGAGUAAAUGGCCCCAAGGAGGUGGCCCAAGACCCCUUAGAAUGUGGGAGCCAGUAAGGAGAAUGCAUUAGUUGUCUUUUUUUAUUAUUUGCUGUUUGUAAUAGCAGUACUCCCCAGCGGAUAGGAGGCGGGAAAGUGCGAGCUCCAGAGCUCACAGAUUCAGUUCUCUGCUCCAGAGCAGCAACACAAGCUGGCAUACAGUGAGGCCUUCCUCUUGGGAGAGGUAAAAGAGACUGGACUUCUGGUCCCAGCUUAGGGAAAGGCAUGCCACCUUCUGUGGAAUUAUUUUCCCCAUCUAUUAAUAUGUGGAGGAUACUAAAUAUGCUUGUUAAACACGCAAGCAUUUUUUAUCACCGAUCGUUGGUGUUUAUUUACAUCUAACUUUUAAAAUGCAUGUCACUGGCCACCAGCUUGGAAGUGGGACUAGCUAAGAGGUGCUAGCUGCCCUCCCAUGAUCAAGAAUAUUUUCUACCAAAAGGCUAAUUUCCUAUUUCUGUUUCAAAGUAAGCCAUGCAGGAUGCCUGUCACAGCCUUACUGUAAUUUAAAAAACAGCAGUCCCCUCAUCACAGGAGGUGUUGGCUACAUGGAUGCACUCUUGUUAGCUGCCCUUGCUACAGUUAUAGGAGGCAUGUACAGAAUUCAAACAGGUGGAAUAUGGCAGAGAAUUGUCUAAGCUUUUCUCUCAGCAUUAAAUUUAAAGCCAACAAGCUAUAUAGGAUUAGACUAGCAUUAUAACUGUCCAUCCAUGGGUUUUAGAGCCACAUAGAGCAUUGUCUCGAUCCCUGGAGGCAUUCAAGAAAUGUUUAGAUAUUAUACUGAGAGAUAUGGUUUAGUGGGAAAUAUUGGUGAUAGGUGAAUGGUUGGACUGGACGGUCUUGGAGGUAUUUUCCAACCUUGGUUAUUCUGUAAUUCUAUGAUUGUUGCCAUGUGCUUCUUUCAGCAAGGUGCUCUGAGUGCAGACCCUGCCCAGCAGCACUGUUCUGGCUGGUCCCCUCCCAACAUCUGCAGCCAGCCUGCUCCCACCCGUAGAGGAAAGGGCACUGUCAGCGGUGGGAAGGGGGCUGGUUGCUGCCGCCACUCUGUCUGCAACUCAUUGCCUUCGUCCUGAGUGUGCCACAGUGGCUUUUCCUUUCUUUACUUUCUUCCUUUUUUUUUUUUUUUAAAUUCUGCAAACAAACAAACACAACCUACAUAAAUGGGGUGCGGACUACGUGGCUCAAGGACUCAGGAUGAUUAAAAGCAGGAGCCAUACAGAGACAUCCAGAAAUGAUUGUUUUUAACAAGACAGGAACUUUGUCUGAAAACAGGAUGACCUGCUACAAAAGACGCCAACAAAUCCCCGUAGAGCUUUAGAAAAAACAAGCAGGCGCCUGAGUGUGCUUUAAAAAAAAAAAAUCCAGCCUGGUAAUAAAAAGGCAUGUAAGGGUAAACAGGAAAAGAGCACUCCACACUGCAAGCAGCCCGGAGGAGGAAAGGCUGGGAAGAGAGCUGAUCUGAAAACCUGAUAUGGAAACCAAAGAGAACGAUUUCUUCAUAUCCCUGGUACAAACUCCCUGUGCAAACACAAUGUCGGGGCAGCUGUGAGCAGCACUUCCCUACUGGUUUCACUGUGCCUUCCUUCCAGUCCUUUCCAGUGAAGGCUGUGGGACAGCAACAGGCGCUCCACAGGUGGUGUUGGUUUGCAUUUCAGACUUCCACGAAACAGUUUUUUUCUAGUGCAAAACUUUAUUUCCUGAAGGUAAAAUGAUUGCAGUUCAGCCCACCUGUGUUGCAUUUACACAGCUCUCUCCCAGUUUUAGCAUGAAUCUCUUGACAUCUGUUGUGUUUUCCGCUAAGCGUUGGCUCCGUAAGUCUUGUUGAAUUUUAAAAUCAAAUGCUGAUUUGAAAAAUUAGGAUAUUGAUAGACUUCAUCAUGCUGACAACCCCUGCUUGUUGGCAGUAUCUGCAGACUCAGCUCCUAGGAAGUUUUCCCAUCAUGGCCUGCAUGCCAUCAGCUAGAGACCCAUGACAGCGGCCAUCAUGGUACAUACUGCAAGCUUCUGUGCAGCAGCUAUCCCCUUUGUUGUGCUCCGAAGUCGAGCACUGCCUCAGCACUGAAAUGACAGCCUGUCACAGCCUAUGCUAACAUGUGGCCAGAAGCAGCUUCUACAGCAGCUGUACAACCCAUGACUGGAAGAGGUCCAGCCCUCAGGCACAGAAGGGCAGACCAGUGGUGUGGCUUCCUGCCGCUGCAUGGCCACAGUUGGCCCUGAGGUGGCUCCUCCUGAAGGAGGAUCCUGAAGAAAUGCUGCAUUCCUGACAACUUCCAUGGCCUCACAGGAAUCAGCGUGAGUUUCAGAGAAGCUUCUGGAUCCCUUUCCUCAGGAGUAGCCCUAAAUUCCUGGCAAUACGUGUCACGUGCUAUCUUUGUCUCCUGUGGGGCCCUGUGUCCUUUGGUGCUUGGCUGCCACUGGUGCCAGGUGGUGCCCAGAGAGGCACUGGUGCUCCUGGGAGGGGAAGAGGGGAAGAAGGCUCAUGUGCAUGAGCUCUUCAGAUGAUGGAAAAGACAUAAGCAUCCACCCUUUUCUGAGUAUUGCCUGAAGACUGAGGAGGAGCUGCUUGUCCUUAGCCAUGGCUGGCUGCUCCAGAGCUCCCAGCCUGCUGGUGGCCUCUGAGGAAGAUGGGAUGUGGUUUUGUGGGUCAGGUAUCUCCAUUUAGUGUACUCCAGAUCAGAGUCCAUUUUCCCUAAGUAAGCAAGGAAAAGACAGCAGCCUGUACUUUCCCUUUCUGAAGAUGUCAGCAUGUCUCUGCCCCAAGGCUCUGUCCCCUUUAGGAGUAAUGCCUUCUGCACAUGGGACCACUCAUAGUCACGCUGUGCCAAGACCCUGGGUGCUCAGUGCCCUGCAGAGAACCUCCUGUCCUGUCCUGGCUUAGGGGAGAGCUGGGUUCAAGCUUUCUCAGGUAACCCCAUGGGCAUGGGUUUCUAUAGUCACUGCAUCAGUAUAAAAUAAACUUGCAUUUUCUUCUUUCCUGUUGUAUCAGUAAAGGUUGAUCAUGUGAUUUCCCAUAGAACAUAUUAUUGAUCAUUUUCCACGGCCUGCAGCGCCCUUCAGCACUGUACUACUUAACAAUAAUAAUUAUAGAGUCAAUACAAUGAUCAGGGAAAUUUCCAAUUUCCACGAAGUGAAAUUAAAACUAAAUGAAUUUUUAUUAUGCUCAAGAUGGAUAGCAAUGUCAGCUGCUUUGUCCAUUGGUUUCAUAAUUAGCAGAGUCUCACAUGCAUGAUCAAUAGCAUGUGACACUAGUAUCUAAAGGAGCAUGCUUUGUUUUGCAUAUAUAUCUUCCAACCUACCCAUGCAUACAGAACAUAAAACCUCUUUGCUAGUGUGUAUGUGAACAUUCCUAUAGAAGGAUCCAGAGAACUUUGUUCUUACAAGAUGUUUGUGUCUUCUUUGGACAAAGAAAGACAUAAUUUCACCUGCAUUGGUCUAAAAAAAUAUAAUUCUAAGUAAACAUGUCAAAGUGGUCAUGACUUGAUUUUAAAAAGAUGGUAAAGCAAGUGCAGAAGAUAUGUAAAUAGAUCACUGGAGGGGAAAAGAAAUAAUUUCUUCUCCGCAAGAAAGAGAUGCUUAAACUCUUCACUGAAAUGAAUUCAAAUUGGGCAAGAUAUCUCAGGUCUCCAAUUCAUCUCACAAAUUGCCGAAGGAGCAGAACAGAAACAGCAUCACUGAAGAUCUAGCAUGGAAGAAAACAUUUCAUUAAUGUUUAAAGAAAUGGCAAGUUCAGGGCAGUUGCUUAUAUUUCUGCAUUGUUUUUUCCUCCAUCACUUUAUAAAGAAUAAAAGGUAGUAGCUUC